rnacentral:rRNA from 1 species
GAUGAACGCUGGCGGCGUGCCUAAUACAUGCAAGUCGAGCGAACAGACGAGGAUCUUGCUCCUCGGACGUUAGCGGCGGACGUGUGAGUAACACGUGGAUAACCUACCUAUAAGACUGGGAUAACUUCGGGAAACCGGCUCUAAUACCGGAUAAUAUAUUGAACCGCAUGGGUCAAUAGUAAAAGACGGUGUUGCUGUCACGUAUCGAUGGAUCCGCGCCGCAUUAGUUAGUUGGUAGGUAACGGCUUACUAAGGCAGCGAUGCGUAGCCGACGUGAGAGGGUGAUAGCCCGCACGGGAACUGAGACAGGGACAAGAGUACUACGGGAGGCAGCAGUAGCGAACCGGCCGCAACGGGCGAAAGCAUGACGGAGCAACGACGAGUGAGUGAUGAAGGUCCCCGGAUCGUAAAACUCUGUUAUUAGGGAAGAACAAAUGUGUAAGUAAAUAUGCACGUAUUGACGGUAACUAAUAAGAAAGCCACGGCUAACUACGUG